rnacentral:lncRNA from 1 species
CCUAGAUCGGCCCUGCUACUUGCAAAGGACCCCUUUGCUGAUGCAACUAAGGGUGACGACUUACUCCCGGCAGGGACUGAGGAUUACAUUCAUAUAAGAAUCCAGCAACGGAACGGCAGAAAGACACUGACUACUGUUCAGGGCAUUGCAGAUGAUUAUGACAAAAAGAAACUUGUGAAAGCUUUCAAAAAGAAAUUUGCCUGUAAUGGUACUGUGAUUGAACAUCCUGAAUACGGAGAGGUUAUUCAGCUUCAAGGUGACCAAAGAAAAAACAUCUGCCAGUUUCUCUUGGAGGUGAGUGAUUGGGUGCUUUAUGUGUAACCUUGAGAUUGCUUUUAAAAUUGUAUUUAAAGGCAACAUGAUUUGUUUUCUACUAAGUAAAAAAUCAUACGAAUGAAGGAAAUUAGGUGAAAUAAAGACAUGGUAGUUAUUUGGAAAGCAAAGACCUUUAUCUGGUUUAUUUUGUCAUUAGAGUAUUCUGAUCAUUUCUUUAUAUACACACACAGGCUAUUUCUUGGCAUGUAAAGUAUUCAAAUACGUGUUGAAUUGUUGGCUAUCAGCAGUGCAUGCCACAGACAACAGUGUUGCAGUAAGCUGUUGAUAGUGAUUCUUUUUAAUUACUCUUCCAUGUUUUCUUAAUGAAUUUUUAUAUUUCUCAGAGUUAUUUUGCUAAAUUAGAUUUUAUUUUACAGGUUGGCAUUGUAAAGGAGGAACAGCUUAAGGUUCAUGGAUUCUAAAAUGAACCUAAAUACGUGGAGAAUUUCUUGAAUAGUUUUGUUCUCUAAACCCGGUUUGGCUGCCUUGUGAAAUGAUUCCCUGCAGUAAACGGACUUUUCAUUUAUUUAAUCAUUCAAACUUCCAUUCACAUCUGCAUGAUUACAGAAAACAUGGGGUAUGUAGACUAGUAACACAUAAGAAAAUUGCAGUAAGAUGGUAACAAAACCUCAUAUUGUCUUUACAUGUUUCCAAUGGAAAAUGUUUUGAGUGUUUAUUGUUCAGUUUAUUACGUUUCACUUGAUUAAAUUUUUUUGUUGUUGUAUUAAACCAUGUACGUUGCAGCUUAACAAUAAAAAAAAAUCUAUGAAUCUUUGUGAGCAAUUAUGCUCCCAAAUCUAAGCAAGUAAAAUACACAUUUUGUCUUUCUUAA